rnacentral:rRNA from 1 species
GAUGAACGCUGGCGGCGUGCUUAACACAUGCAAGUCGAACGAACAGAGGAGAGCUUGCUCUCCAAAGUUAGUGGCGGACGGGUGAGUAACGCGUGGGUAACCUGCCCUAUGCAGGGGGAUAACGUUUGGAAACGAACGCUAAUACCGCAUAAACUAUCGGUAGUCGCAUGACUACUAUAGCAAAGAUUUAUCGGCAUAGGAUGGACCCGCGUUGGAUUAGCUAGUUGGUGAGAUAACAGCCCACCAAGGCAACGAUCCAUAGCCGGCCUGAGAGGGUGAACGGCCACAUUGGGACUGAGACACGGCCCAAACUCCUACGGGAGGCAG